rnacentral:lncRNA from 1 species
AUGAACUUUUCGAGAUCGUGCAAUUCNNNNUCCCUGCAAGAAGAGGGAAUUCAAGUUAAAGCAGUGCCAUGUCCUCCACCUGUGAGUUACUGGGAAGGCUGCUUUACCAGUCUGGCUGGGAGACCUUCAUGCACCACCAGCCUGGCUGUUCUGAGUCAUCUUACUCCGACGACAGUGUCUGUCCUUUCACUGUCCCACCACAACUCUGACUUCCGGUCCCCAAACAGCCGGACCUCCUGCUGGACAGUGCCCCACACGGCUGUGGAAGCCUCCCCAGACUCGGCCCACAAGGACCUGGGGCACCUCCGGGAGCUGGGGCUGCUGGAUUCGGAGGAUUCCCAAAGGACAGGCGGGCAGCUGGGCGUGGUGGCGUACACCUGGAGUCCCAGCACUCAGGCGGCUGAGGCGGAAGGGUUGCCAGGAGUUCGAGGCCAGCCUGGGGUACACAGCAGGACCCCGUCUGGGAACAAAACACCAAGCAGAAGUGGAGGCCGGUGCCCAGACCCCCGGCCUCACUGCCUGUUGCCCACUGUCUGACACAGUAGUGUAUUAUUUUUGUGUGUGUUGUUGUUGUUUCGUUUUUUAAGGCAGGAGGAGAAAUCCAUUCCACACUCCUCAUCUUUGUGAGAAUCGUCUCCCUUCCUCGCACCCUCUCCUGCCCAUCUACCCUCUCCACCAUCACUGUGGACAGCAGAGGACAGCUGCAAGUCCCGGACUCCCCACCCCCAGAGGAGCGCAGGGAAGCACUGACACCCAGGGUGAGCCUGCAUUCUCCUCACGGGCCCAGGCUCCAGAGCAGAUUCAGGUCCAGCCUCUGCUACAGAGCAGCUGGCUUGCAGAGCUGCCCUUGGACUCUUCGUUUCCUGUCCGAUGGCAGCAGUGGUACCUGCCUUGUUCAAGAGGACAGAAAACUUGAGGAUUAAAGAAAAUAUGAGUCAGAUCCCUGUCAGUGUGAGGCGUUUUUUUGAGCUUUUUGAUGGGACCCACUUCUGAUCAUCCAAGCAGGGCCGGAAGGGAUAGUUUGACGGCCAUUUUUAUUUUUCUUCUUUUUGAAAGACAGGGUCUCACUACGUAAUUCAGGCUGACCUUGAAUGCACUAUGUAGCCCUAGUCAAUCUGAAACUUUGCAGUGAUCUUCCUGCCUCAACCUCCUGAGUGCUGGGAUAACAGGUACGUGCUACCACACCUGGCUGAUGGCAACUUUAAACAACCUAUAGUCGCAAAUGGCAAUGAGAAGGUUACAAUAUUUUGGGGCCGGGAGUUUAGCUCAGUGGUUCUGGGGCCUGCCUUGCAAGCGAAAGGUUCCCAGUUCAAUCCCCAGUACCAAAAAAAAAAGGUUACAAUAUUUUGAAAAAUUCACAAUAUGCAUCAAACACAGAUAUAAAUUGUACAAAUGUAUGUAGGAUGAAUUUGGGGGGAUUAACUGUACCCUUUAAACGCACCCUGUACCUUUCAGUCUUCUUAUAUACUUAUUUACUUAUUUAGAGAUGAAGCUUUGUUACACUGCCCUGGCUGGCUUUGAACUUUCGAUCCUCCUGCCUCAGCCUCCCAAGUAGCUGGGGUUACUGGUGUAUACCACCAUGCCCAGGCUUCUGUUGGUAUACACACCCAAAGCUAUGCCGCAGACUGUUGCCUCCGACUCCCUCAGGGGGCUUUUCCUUUUGCACGAGGGGAAGAAGAAUGAGUCUUACAAAUCCAGUGAGUAAGAGCAAAAGAAGAGUCACAAUCGCUGAUGCUACUGGCAACCCUGCCCCAAGCUCGGCUUAGGCUGCGUUCUCUCAUGGAGCUGUCACCAGAGACGGAUGAGGGGGUACUAUGAUCAUCCCUAUUUUACCGAGGAGUAAACCGAGGCAUAGAGGAUUUAGAGCGUGAAGUGGCAGAUCUGUCUCCAAAACCCAUGAUGACCAGGAAGCAAAUCAAGCACGAUCCUAAACAGCAGAAGCGGUGUGUGUGCCACUCAGCCCAACAGAUUUCGAGCAAGAGGGCAUAGGAACCGCACGCGCUCACCCUGAGAACUCUUUCCUUUUGUUUCAUACAGCUUGUGGGGUUCUGCUGCAGUUUGCGUCAAUAGUCCUGCAAAGCUCUUUCCAGUUCACUGAAGCCAUUUAUCCAGCACCGACUUGCAGACUCGAGCCUGGGUAACCUACCAUCCGAGGGGUGACUUUAGCAGGAGGCCGCGUGGGGCGCAGACUAGGGGCAGAGCCGGCUCCGGGCCCCCCUGGCCGAGACUCCAGGCCUGACGUCACGUGGGCCUGCACGUGGCCCGGCCCCCCGGGAAUGCUGCACCACGUGGCUCACUCGCUCCGGGCUGCAGGAGGCCACCAGGCUGCAGCAGAGCCCACCACUCGGCCUGGCUCUCCCGCAGCUGCCCGGCUCCGCUCCCGAGUCCCUGCGCUGACCCCGGCCCAGAGCUGAGGCGCCAGGUGUAGCGGCUCUCAGCUCGGCCAGCGUUCAUCCCCUGCCACCGAGGUUUGCCCACC